rnacentral:rRNA from 1 species
GAUGAACGCUGGCGGCGUGCCUAAUACAUGCAAGUCGAGCGAACGGACGAGAAGCUUGCUUCUCUGAUGUUAGCGGCGGACGGGUGAGUAACACGUGGAUAACCUACCUAUAAGACUGGGAUAACUUCGGGAAACCGGAUCUAAUACCGGAUAAUAUUUUGAACCGCAUGGUUCAAAAGUGAAAGACGGUCUUGCUGUCACUUAUAGAUGGAUCCGCGCUGCAUUAGCUAGUUGGUAAGGUAACGGCUUACCAAGGCAACGAUGCAUAGCCGACCUGAGAGGGUGAUCGGCCACACUGGAACUGAGACACGGUCCAGACUCCUACGGGAGGCAGCAGUAGGGAAUCUUCCGCAAUGGGCGAAAGCCUGACGGAGCAACGCCGCGUGAGUGAUGAAGGUCUUCGGAUCGUAAAACUCUGUUAUUAGGGAAGAACAUAUGUGUAAGUAACUGUGCACAUCUCGACGGUACCUAAUCAGAAAGCCACGGCUAACUACGUG